AACACACGUGGAUGUGUCACUUAAAACAACAGACAAAACGUAUGUUAAGACCAUAGAUUUCCUAUCAAAUAAAGGCUUUCGAAUCCCGGAGUAUCAAUCCACACCCUCAAGAACACUCAAGGUGAUGACGAGCCUUGAUAUGAAAGAUGCGUCAGCUUGACUGAAGAGAGCCCAUGAGAUGCGGCAUCCAUGAAUUCAAAUACGUCAUCUUCUCAUCACUGCCUCAAGCUACAUCAGUUCAACUUGGCUAGUUAUUCAAUAUUAAGAACACUCAAGAUGAUGACAAGCCUUGGUAUGAAAGAUGCGCCAGCUUGACUGACGAGAGCCUGUGAGAUGCUGCCUCAUCAUGAUUUCAAAUACACCAUCUUCUCACCGUCUCAAGCUAAUUCAGUUCAACUUUGUGAUUCAUUCAAUAAGAUGUUAAGGUACGUCUCACGUAGUAAGUUUUUAUUUAUUGUAAAAAGGUCUGUUUACAUGGACUCUUAUAAAACCACUCACGACAUCAGUCUUUACUGUUUACAACUGAAACAAAGUUGUGAUUUAUUUCAAAAGCUAUGAACUUAAUUCAAAGCACAUUGUACUGCGUAAACAGAUCUUUACCGCGUACAGCCCUAUGUGGCUGUUUUUGUUAUGAAGUGAAAACUUUGCUGAAUAUUGUUGUGUACAUUUUGUAGCUCCUUUGAAUCAUCAGGCCUGAUACUUCUCAAAGACAAAUUACGCAGCAAUUGCCUCCAUCCAUGCACACGGUCUUGGUCAUUGCCUUGGUGCCCAUUGAAGGUUCUGGUACUAAUUCAAAUUUUCCUCACACUCGUUUUACUGAGAAUUGCUGCCUUGCCCUUACAAGAAUGAAGCAUCAGGCCUGAAGAACGGGUAAUGAAAUGCAGAAAUCAAAGGGCUUCUAGCUACGACUACAGUUUUUACUGAAUACCAAAGCAGUGUAGUGAACAAUCAUGCAACGUAUAGGCUAACAUGUACAGUUUCAAAACAUAACUUUACACGUAUGUCAGAGUUUGAAACAUGUUCUAAAUACCUAGUUUGAUAUUUAUAUGUGGUAAAAUUGAUGUAUUUGUAUCACACGUGAUGAUAUUCAUCUCCAAAACAUUGUACGAACCGAGUAGGGCUCUUAGUUUUAACGGAAUCCAAAUGUAUGGAAACUUAGAGUGAACAUCUGCAUUUCCAUAAAGUUUUAUGCUUAUUACUGAAAGUACUGUGCUGCAUCUUUCCACCAUUUUAUCUUGAAAGCCAGAUUCCGCAAAUCCAUGAGAACCCCAAAAUAAACAGUUAUAAUAUUUUUUUAUGAUUUUCUGAUGUAUUUAACUUGGAAACUUGGCAAUGCAGAUGGUCCUUCUAAACUUCCAUACAAUUUUUGCAACAUCUUUUGAAGUCUGGUUCCAAGUCUCUUAGUGGUAAUACAACACUAGUUCUUAAUGUAGGUGCCAGACUAAUUUCUGGUUUGAUUUCUCCUAUACAUGUAUAUAUGUAUACACUAAGCUAAUAAGUUAUCAAGGUUAUGUGUGUAAAUGCCCCUUUUAAACAACAGCUUUUAAUACGCCAGCUUCGGAAUUCACAGUUAAGCUGAGCAUACAUACUUUGUAAUACUUAAAAUAAGAAGUUUGAAGGUUAGAAGUCACGAACGAUGUGUUCUGUGCAAUGAAAUUGUUAAAUUAAAGAGUUAUUUAGCACCUACAACUUGCGCUAAGUGCCAACUUAAGAGUAAUUUUAUGCAAUUAUUUAUUGAAACGACACUUUCCUGUAAGUUUGUUUGUCACCAGAAUGUCUUUUACAUGUAGAAUGUCAAUAGGGAUACCCUGGAGUGUAUCACGCACUGUUUUAAGGGUGUUUUAAAUGUUUUUGCACUCAAUUUUUGUAAUUUUCAGUGAUUUUUAGAGUUUUUUAGGCAAA